rnacentral:rRNA from 1 species
AUUGAACGCUGGCGGCAGGCCUAACACAUGCAAGUCGAGCGAGCGGCGGACGGGUGAGUAAUGUAUGGGGCUCUGCCCGAUAGAGGGGGAUAACUACUGGAAACGAUGGCUAAUACCGCAUACUAUCGGAAGCCCCCAUAUGGGAUUAGCUAGUAGGUGGGGUAAAGGCUCACCUAGGCGACGAUCUCUAGCUGGUCUGAGAGGAUGAUCAGCCACACUGGGACUGAGACACGGCCCAGACUCCUACGGGAGGCAGCAGUGGGGAAUCUUGGGCAAUGGGCGAAAGUCUGAUCGAGCAACGCCGCGUGAGUGAAGAAGGUCGUAGGGUUGUAAAGCUCUGUUGUUAGAGAAGCGGUACCUAAACAGAAAGCCACGGCUAACUACGUGCCAGCAGCCGCGGUAAUUC